UUACACUGACUCUAAUAUCAGUUUUUGUAUAUCAUUUCUAUAGCUGUAUAAGAACAUCUGCUCAUUUGAUUUAUCUGCAGCUUAGCACAAUCAACUACAUACCUUUUCAGUUCAGAAGGAUAAAAGAAAACUCAUUCUACCCAAAGAGAGCUGAGAAGUUAAUGAAUCUGUAGAUUAGAACAAAUUAAAACCUAUUAACUAUAAACAGCCUAAAUGCCAAUAUAUUAUAUUUUGAAUACACAGCAACCAGGAAUAUCAUGCAAAAACGCUGAUAUGCUGUCGAACAAAGAAAUAGAACAGAUCCCAGAAACUCAGGACCUCGGCCUUUUGGUGGCGCUGUUGCUAUGUGCUAGUGCCAGGCAAACAGUAUUCAUAUAAAAUUAACUACCAUGGAGCACAAGAAGCUUUGCUUUUCCAUGAUCAAGCUGCUAGAGAUUUUGGGGUGAGGGAGCGAAAUGAAGGCGAAAUAAAAGAACAGGAGAUAAGAUAAUCCUGCCAUGUUAAAAGUUGUAAGGUCCCUGAGAACAGUAUUGUAGAGAACGGACUGAGUUAAAAAACUGGGCUCUGCUCUGGGCUCUGCCACUGACCAGGUGUGGAAGCUUGGACCCACGCUUCAGUUUCUUCACCUGAAAAACAGGAAGACUAAGACCUAUUCCAACCUCUGCUGGGCCAUAGUGAGGGCAAUGGGCCAUACUGAAGUGCUUUAACUAUGGAAACACAUGGGAAUAUAAGCUUCUGAAGCAUCCACAGUGCCUAUCAUAGCCCAUCAUCCACAGGGAAGAGUCAGUGAACAUCUGGUGACUUCUACAGAAGAUUCUUUUCUGUCUUCAUAUCCAAGCAGUACUUGUAUAACUACAGUCUUUUCCUCUGUGUUCAUUCAUUUCAUACAUAUAUAUUUAACAAAUAUUGAGCCUCUUGUAUGUGCCACAGGGCUUGUACUAGGAACAGGGGAUACAAUGGGACACCCAGUGUCUACAGUAAAAUUGUUCUUUUUGUUCUUUCAAUGUGUGGUUUGAUAUAUCAUCAUACAAAGCUUUUCUGAAGGUAAAUAAAACAAUUUAAGAAAA